GUAAAGCACAUUUCAGCUGUCUAACCCCAGUACUUCCUGGUCUUCAAAUAAUGGAUGGGGUAAGAUUUCUGUCACACCUACAGAAAAUUGCCAGGAGCUCAGGCAAUCAUCCAGCAGGUGACCCAGCCAAGAGUUGUGUGGGGUGAGUCCCCAGGACAGCCUUUAACCCGGUCCUGUGAAGUCGCUGGUCAUUUUCUGCUGAGUGGACAACAUGCAAUCAGGCUGACAGAGCACAGCUUCUUGAGGAAAGAGCUUCCUGCCCUGCUGUCCAGUUCCAGCCCCAGCCCUUCUCAGGCCAUGGGGCAAGGCCGGGUGAUGAAGUUGAAAGGUGGUGGGAAGUGCAGGGAACUCUAUACACAGCUCAAAGGGCAGAUCACUGAGGUCCGCAGGCCUCUAAGAUGGCUCUAGAACUGAUCAAUCUCUGAGACUGACUGGAAACCAGCCCAGUUAAGGUUGGUUUCUGAUAGAUCUGCCUGGGCUAGUGUGAGGGCUCGAAGCUCACAGCGUGACCCAUUGGGAGACUGUGAGUCAAGCUGGGUGAGACCUUUGUAGACCGUGGAGAAGUCAUUUGGGGGUGCCAUGCCCCAGAACAUGAAUGCAGAGCUUGGCAAGCAGGCCUGGGCACCCUGGGAGGCUGGGACCUGCCCUGGGAGUCCAAGUGGUGGGAGUGGAGGCAGGGAGGCCACCUCCCAAUCCUGAUGAAGACUGCUGCUGGAAGCAAUUUCCCCACCACCACCCCAAGAAGGCGCAGGCGGUUUCCAAGUGGGGAGAGAGGGCAGGCCAAUCAUGGAGACCUUCUGCAAGGAUGAAGGCCACCAGGCUUAGCUCUUGGCGUGGCUCCCCACCAGCUGCAUGGCCAGGGUUAGAUGAUCAACCUCACUCCAAUGAAUAAGCUUCCUAUAAAACUGGGGAAAACAGUCCACAUUGCAGCCCAAGGGGCAGCAUCAGCUAUAGUGCUUGUAAGAGACUCCUCCAUCCUCACAGGGAUGCAGGAAUCUCACGUGGUCACCUUCCCUCUGUGGUCAUUUGCCUCAGCCCUCUUCCGUCCUUUGAAAAAAAGACAGCAGGUGAGCAGAUCCCGAAAUAAGACCCUGAACCCUCAGGGGUCACCACCCUGGAUGCUGGAGGAGAGAAUGCUUUUGUUCAGCAGGGUCCUCAAAAGUAGACAUCUAGUGGCUGCUGAUAAAGAGAGGAGACGGUCCCCCAAAGGGACGUGUGGAGCUGGUUUCUGGGUGUUGGUCAUGAGGCUUGAGACCUGGAAGGAAAAGGGAAGGAUGGAGGUGGAGAAGGAGCUUGACUUGCCCCCUGAAUCUGCACCCACUGGCUUUGGAAAGGCCUAG
rnacentral:lncRNA from 1 species